GGGGACAUAGCUCAGUUGGGAGAGCAACAGACUGAAGUAUAGUUGGGGAUACGUGUAAUCUUCUGGAGGUCCCCAGUUCAAUCCUGGGUGUCCCCA